UGGGUAACCUGCCUCAAAGAGGGAAUAGCCUCCCGAAAGGGAGAUUAAUACCGCAUAAUAUGUUUAAGUCGCAUGACUUUAACAUCAAAGGAUUUUCUUUUAGGAACUCCACUUUGAGAUGGACCCCGCGGCGCAUUAGCUAGUUGGUGAGGUAACGGCUCACUAAGGCAACGAUGCGUAGCCGACCUGAGAGGGUGAUCGGCCACAUUGGAACUGAGACACGGUCCAGACUCCGUAGGAGG
rnacentral:rRNA from 1 species